rnacentral:rRNA from 1 species
GCGCGUAGGCGGUUAAAUCAGUCAGAUGUGAAAGCUCCGGGCUCAACCUGGGAACUGCAUUUGAUACUGUUUAACUAGAGUAUGGUAGAGGAGAGUGGAAUUUCAGGUGUAGCGGUGAAAUGCGUAGAGAUCUGAAGGAACACCAGUGGCGAAGGCGGCUCUCUGGACCAAUACUGACGCUGAGGUGCGAAAGCGUGGGUAGCAAACGGGAUUAGAUACCCCGGUAGUCCACGCCGUAAACGAUGUCAACUAACUGUUGGGCGGGUUUCCGCUUAGUGGUGCAGCUAACGCAAUAAGUUGACCGCCUGGGGAGUACGGCCGCAAGGCUAAAACUCAAAUGAAUUGACGGGGGCCCGCACAAGCGGUGGAGCAUGUGGUUUAAUUCGAUGCAACGCGAAGAACCUUACCUACCCUUGACAUACAGAGAACUUUCUAGAGAUAGAUUGGUGCCUUCGGGAACUCUGAUACAGGUGCUGCAUGGCUGUCGUCAGCUCGUGUCGUGAGAUGUUGGGUUAAGUCCUGUAACGAGCGCAACCCUUAUCCUUAGUUGCUACCAUUUAGUUGGGCACUCUAAGGAGACUGCCGGUGAUAAACCGGAGGAAGGUGGGGACGACGUCAAGUCAUCAUGGCCCUUAUGGGUAGGGCUACACACGUGCUACAAUGGCUGGUACAGAGGGCUGCUAACUCGCGAGAGUAAGCGAAUCCCUUAAAGCCAGUCCUAGUCCGGAUUGCAGUCUGCAACUCGACUGCAUGAAGCUGGAAUCGCUAGUAAUCGCGGAUCAGAAUGCCGCGGUGAAUUCGUUCCCGGGCCUUGUACACACCGCCCGUCACACCAUGGGAGUGGGUUGC